rnacentral:rRNA from 1 species
AACGAACGCUGGCGGCAUGCCUAACACAUGCAAGUCGAACGAGACCUCCGUGCCUUGUUGCGCACGGGUGCGUAACGCGUGGGAACCUGCCCUUAGGUUCCGUAUAACUCCCUGUAAGGUGUGCUAAUACAGGAUAAUGUCUUCCGACCUAAGAUUUCUCGCCAUUGGAUGGGCCCGCGUUGGUUUCGCUAGUUGGUAGGGUAAAAGCCUGUCAAGGCGUCGAUGCAUAGCUGGUCUGAGAGCAGGAUCAGCCACACUGGGGCUGAGACACGGCCCAGAAUGGUACGCAAGGGAGGAGAGGAGUAUAUUGGACGAGGGGGGAAGGCGUGAUCAAGCAAUGGCGGGUAAGUGAUGAAGGGGGUAGGGAAGUAAAGCUGUUUUACACGGGGUGAUAAUGACAGUACCGGGAGAAUAAGCACCGGCUAACUCCGUG